ensembl:miRNA
ACUUUCCCGGGACUUGGAGCGCUUCCGCACGCGCUCCUUGUCCCGAGAGCGCGA